rnacentral:tRNA from 4 species
GCGCCUGUAGCUCAGUGGAUAGAGCACUUGCCUCCGGAGCAAGGGGCCACAGGUUCAAAUCCUGUCAGGCGCACCA